rnacentral:rRNA from 1 species
UACAGAGGUCUCAAGCGUUGUUCGGAUUCAUUGGGCGUAAAGGGUGUGUAGGUGGCGCCGUAAGUCGGGUGUGAAAUUUCGGAGCUUAACUCCGAAACUGCAUUCGAUACUGCGGUGCUUGAGGACUGGAGAGGAGACUGGAAUUCAUGGUGUAGCAGUGAAAUGCGUAGAGAUCAUGAGGAAGACCAGUGGCGAAGGCGAAUCCCUGGAAAAUACCUGACACUGAGGCACGAAAGCUAGGGGAGCAAACAGG